GUGAUAGGUUGUCUCUUAAUUGGAGAAUGGUAUGAAGGGUCUCACGUGGGGUUUCUUUUUUAUUAAGAAGUUUCUUUUUAAGUGAAAAAGCUUAAGUUUUUGUAAAAGACGAGAAGNCCCUGNCGAGAAACCUUUAUUGGGGCAAUAAGAUUAAAUAACAAUCCUUGAGAGAAAGCAAAAGCUACCGCAGGGAUAACAGCGUUAUUUUCUGAGAGAUCGAAUGAGGAAAGGGUUG
rnacentral:rRNA from 1 species